CCCUUAGAUGUUCUGGGCCGCACGCGCGCUACACUGACGAAGUCAGCGAGCAUGUCCUACGCCGACAGGUGCGGGGAAUCUUGUCAAACUUCGUCGUGAUGGGGAUUGAUUUUUGAAAUUCUUGAUCAUAAACGAGGAAUUCCUAGUAAGCACAAGUCAGCAGCUUGCGUUGAUUACGUCCCUGCCCUUUGUACACACCGCCCGUCGCUACUACCGAUUGAAUGGUUUAGUGAGAUCUUCGGAUUGGCGCCACUGCAGCUCAGCAAUGGGCUUGGUGGAUGCCGAAAAGUUGAUCAAACUUGAUCAUUUAGAGGAAGUAAAAGUCGUAACA
rnacentral:rRNA from 1 species